UAAGGAAUAUUGGUCAAUGGACGGAAGUCUGAACCAGCCAUGCCGCGUGCAGGAAGACGGCCCUCUGGGUUGUAAACUGCUUUUAUUCGGGAAUAAACCUAUCUACGUGUAGAUAGCUGAAUGUACCGAAGGAAUAAGGAUCGGCUAACUCCGUGCCAGCAGCCGCGGUAAUACGGAGGAUCCAAGCGUUAUCCGGAUUUAUUGGGUUUAAAGGGUGCGUAGGCGGCCUAUUAAGUCAGGGGUGAAAGACGGUAGCUCAACUAUCGCAGUGCCCUUGAUACUGAUGAGCUUGAAUGAACUAGAGGUAGGCGGAAUGUGACAAGUGGCGGUGAAAUGCAUAGAUAUGUCACAGAACACCGAUUGCGAAGGCAGCUUACUAUGGUUUUAUUGACGCUGAGGCACGAAAGCGUGGGGAUCAAACA
rnacentral:rRNA from 1 species